rnacentral:lncRNA from 1 species
UCCGGACCAAUAGGGCAAGAAUAAUCAUAACCCCAGGGAGGAGCCCAUUAAGUCUGGCCCAAUAAGGAAAAGGAUCAUGGCCCAACAUUGCCGCUCAGUCUUUUAUUAAACAGGAGGUUUAAUGAAAGAGUAUAAGUGGAAUCGGUCCAGAAUAAAAGGAAUUAUAAUGAGAUCAACAAAGGCCCAAGAUACAACUUACCGAGGCCCAUCUGGUGAACAUCAAAUAGCAGCAUAAAUUAAGAUCGAAAGUCCAAUUGAAGAACCUGCUCCAGCCGGACAUACAACAACAAAUAUUUCACCGCCUCCCGAACGACUCAGACCUUCGCCACAAAAACCAUGGCCCGAAGCUGUGGCGACACCGAUGAUCAUCGGUUCGGCAAUAAUUCCAUCAUGGAAUUGAUGGGUGAAGGAGUGAAAUACUAGACUAAAGGAAGUUGAGAUUCGACCAUCAAUCUGAACUGAUUGAUUAAUAAUAGUCAUCUGCAAGUAAACACUGUCUCCGGGUACCUCCGUCUCAAAUAUAAAGAAGCCGAAGAAGAUACCGAAGAGAAUGCCGAAGAGAAUGCUGAAAAGAUAACGCCAUCCGAAAGUCUGUGUUGGAAAAAGAAAGAAACAAUCUUGAUAUUACUCUUUUCAACAAUGAAUGCCUUCGGAAGGAUAUCGACAAGAUCAAAGAAGAACUGAAAACGACCAAGACCACUCAUC